GGUGGAGGAAAAAGAUUAAAACGCGAGAAGUACCCUUCAUCCGAGGAGUGGAGAGGGAGGGAAAGGAGUUGCGUUGUGAAAUACAGGGGAAAACGUGAGAUAUUUUCGACAAACGACUCAACUUGCAACAGAAACGUGUUUCAUAGGUGUCACAAAUGUGAAAGCUCCCUGUCGCAAGGAGAAUCGACACGCUCCUUCAAUACAUAGAAUGGAAAAUACGACGACUUGGUGGAACGGAGGUGUACGAGGGUAGUUGAAGGGAGAAGAUGGGGGAGUAAGAAUUCAAGGAGGAUGAUGCAGGGUGUGCCACACGUCGAAUAGUCCCCUCGGGGUAGUGGAGUACACAGUGGAAUAUCGUGUCUCUCUGAUGCUCUCUCAUCGGCUCACUCUGACAAUUCCAACCCACCCUCAACCCCUCUCCUCUCGUCCCUACUAGCCGUUCUCGGCCAGUUGCGUUGUGCCGGCAAACAGGAUUAUUGGAAAUGGACUGGCACGUCGUCGACGAUCGGGGUAAAUGGUUUUGCGAGCAAUCCACAUGUGUGCUUUCAUUUUUUUUUUUCCUCUAUUUCUAUUUUGGCAGCCUCACCCCUGGCCUAAUUGGCCGACCGGGCUGUUGAACUCGCAUCCACUUUGACGUUAUCAAAAUUGCAAAGUGUGCGCCCAAUGACCGUAAAUCAAUGGUUUAAUUUGAAUGAAUUGCACCAAUUUUUUUUAAA